AUGAACAACAACAUUGUUAACCUUUCAACCACACCACCAUUUCUCAUCGCCUUCCGAUUCCGUAAUUUUCUCCGAUCUGUCACUUCUAAUUUUCCACACAGCACCAUCAAUACAGCUUUCGCGAUUUCCAGCAACUCCCCCCUCUGUCCGCGAAACAAUUGUAACUACAUCAUCAAUGUUUUCGAAAUUUUCGAUAACUCUUUCCAUUUUCUUAAUUGCUAUGCUAUUUGA